rnacentral:rRNA from 1 species
GUGGGGAAUAUUGGACAAUGGGCGAAAGCCUGAUCCAGCCAUGCCGCGUGUGUGAAGAAGGUCUUCGGAUUGUAAAGCACUUUAAGUUGGGAGGAAGGGCAGUAAGCUAAUACCUUGCUGUUUUGACGUUACCGACAGAAUAAGCACCGGCUAACUUCGUGCCAGCAGCCGCGGUAAUACGAAGGGUGCAAGCGUUAAUUGGAAUUACUGGGCGUAAAGCGCGCGUAGGUGGUUUUGUAAGUUGGAGGUGAAAUCCCCGGGCUCAACCUGGGAACUGCCUCCAAAACUGCAUGACUAGAGUACGGUAGAGGGUAGUGGAAUUUCCUGUGUAGCGGUGAAAUGCGUAGAUAUAGGAAGGAACACCAGUGGCGAAGGCGACUACCUGGACUGAUACUGACACUGAGGUGCGAAAGCGUGGGGAGCAAACAGGAUUAGAAACCCGGGUAGUCC